rnacentral:rRNA from 1 species
CACGUAGGGGGCGAGCGUUGUCCGGAUUUAUUGGGCGUAAAGAGCUCGUAGGCGGCUCGGUAAGUGAGGUGUGAAAACUCCAGGCUCAACCUAGAGACGCCACCUGAUACUGCCGUGGCUAGAGUCCGGUAGGGGAGCAUGGAAUUCCUGGUGUAGCGGUGAAAUGCGCAGAUAUCAGGAGGAACACCAGUGGCGAAGGCGGUGCUCUGGGCCGGAACUGACGCUGAGGAGCGAAAGCGUGGGGAGCAAACAGG